AUCCAGCUGAAGAGUCACAAAUAGGACGAAACGCGCGUCCUGGAU
rnacentral:hammerhead_ribozyme from 1 species